ACAUUUUGGUGAACCAAAUAAAGAAAUGGUUGAAUUUCAGGCACCAUCAACUGUCAAGUGGGGAGGAAUCAUAGUGUGCAAGGACCUUCCCACAGGCCUCCAUACACUGAGCCUCACACAACGUGAACCACACUGGGCUAAAGGUGAAACCCACCAGGACAAGAUUUCAGCAAAUUGCACGAGAUAAUAUCUCAGCAAACCAACACCAGUUACUCAAAAUGAGCACUGAAGCUAAUUUGCGGGUUAAUUCAAGGAUUAUCAAUGACAACAGCCUUUGCCUAAGGGAUUUAUUUGAUUACCUAUCAUGUUCUUCGGAUUAAGAUGAUAAUAAGGAGGAAAAAGAAAAGUGAAAUCAUCUCAGUCUGUGUGAGCACUCCUCACCCACUAGUGGGGAUGUUUUUCUUCUAUAGUCUUAAAUGAACAAAAUCACCCCAACAGGCCUGGUGGUAUGCCAGAGGUAGCGCAAAAGGACUUAAGCAUUUCUCUAAAGCCAAGCUUAAGCCAGAUUGUCCUGGCACUCCUUUCAAAGAAGGGAUCUGGGUGGAACACCUCUUACCUUAUCAGCAAGGUUUCGUGUCAGCUGCCAAAAGGAGGAGAUGCACCUCCUCUUUUGAAGAUGAUAGUGAUAAAUGAGAUUCAACUCCACUAUCAUGGGAUGAGCUGGCCCAUUCUUCCCAAACUUCACGCUAAGGUACCGAGUGACAAAUAUGUCACUCAAAUGAUGAUGACUUCAUUGCCACCAGGUGAAAAGGCCCUGACCACCGAGAAAAUGAGGCUCUCUCUAUUGGUGAUAAUGCUAAAUUGUCGUGUCUCCCUGAGAAACUGGCAACUCUGAAUUCAAGACAUAAGUGAGUAAAGAUCAGUAACUGCUCCUAAGCACCCCAGAACAGACCCUAACAUAACAAGUUGUGCCAUUUGGCAGAGUACUGAAUUUGCUAAAAACAAAACAA